AUGCUGAUGGAGUCCAGGUCCUCUUAUCUUCAUCCUAUCAGGUUGUUUUAGGGGAGCAGAAAGUAAGAGUUCUGGCUUCUGUAAUUGCUUCUCUGCUGAGCAUGGGCAUUGACAGGUCUAUCCAUACCCCCAGCCUGUUCCUAUCUUUCCCUAGUGGACCAGUGCUCUGGAGACCUGAGGGUCCAGGACACAUUAGUGAGGUUGUCUGCCCAGAGAAGUCAGGAUGGAUUCAUGGUAGCAUCUUUAACUUGGUGUCCAGAAGGUGGCAUGACCUAAGUUAAGACAAAAUGAUUAAAGGACAGGAAUCAAAAAUUUGGAUUGGAAAGGAUGAGAUUAGGGAUUUUAGGGUAGAAGAAAGCUAGGAAAUUCAUUUUAGGCAUGUUCCUGGGGGCACACAAAUAUGGUAGUUUUGCUUGAAUUUGGUAGCUAGCCUGAAGUUGGAUAAGAAUAUUGUCUGAGAGAAUGAUGUCAGAGUAGAGAAAAGGGCUAGAAAGUUGGAUUAGGGCAGGGAGUAGCUCCUUUUCUUGAAAAACAAAUUCUGUGGCUAAAAUUAACUAUUUACUUCCAUCCACCUGCCCCGGGGCCCAUAUAUUUAUAUUUGUAUUUAUAUUAAUAUUACUAUUUAUAUUUAGCACCAGAGCCUGUGUAAUCUCUAAGUCCUUAUUGGUCUGAGCUUAUAACUCAUGGUCACAACUGGGAACAUUGUAGGCUGCACUUAUUUCAAGACCAGUCUUUUUUUUUUAAUAUUUAUUUAUUUCCUUUUGUUGCUCUUGUUGCUUUUUUUAUUGUUGUAGUUAUUGUUAUUGAUGUCAUUGUUGUUGGAUAGGACAGACAGAAAUGGAGAGAGGAGGGGAAGACAGGGGAGAGAAAGAUAGAUACCUGCAAACCUGCUUCAUCACUUGUGAAGCGACUCCCCUGCAGGUGGGGAGCCGGGGGCUCGAACCGGGAUCCUUAUGCUGGUCCUUGUGCUUUGCGCCACCUGCACUUAACCCACUGCGCUACCACCCGACUCCCAGGACCAGUAUUUUUUGAGUGGCAGGGCAGGAUAACCCCAGCCUUCCUUUGGAGGCUGGGGCUAUCCCUAUCGUCAUUGCUUUUAUGGUGAGGACAAGGUCCUGGGAGGGCCCACAAGAUGCCAUUCCUUAUGGAAGUGACCAGUGGUGGUGGAGAGAGGGAUCCUCUAGAAGUCUAAGCCCAUCAUAUGUGUAUGGGAAUCCGAGGAUUCCCUAACUGGGGCCCCAGAUGCUGAGGUCGUGUGAUAUUAACCAAACGGGCUAUUAAGUGGGCCAGUCUCUUGCCCUUAUCCAACUUUUGUAGCCUGACAUCCAUUCUUUUGAACUAAUACCCUAAAGUGGUAUUGAUGGAUCACAGGGUCACUCUAUUUUUAAUAUUUUGAGGAAAUCACUAUUUUCCAUAGAGGUUGCACUAUUUCUCAUCCUCUUUUUGAUGUAACAUCAAGGCUUCAGACAUGUGCAAUACCACCUCUCCAGGCUUAUUCAUUCUUUUUAUUUUAGAGAAUGAGGAAGGAGUAAGAGACAGAGAGGACCAUCAUCACUGCCUUGCUCCACCAUCCACGGCAUCUCCUCAGUGGUUGCAGUGCUCUCAAGUGGUGUUGAGCACUCAAACUGACACCCCCAUGUGUGUAUGAAUGUGAGGACAAAGAUCCCCCAAGAGGAGAAAAGGUCACUCCAGAGGUACAGCAACUAAGAGUCAGGACAAGGACCAGCUCUCACUUUCCAAAAGGUCACUUCACAGUAAGAUCAAUCGUGGGACACGUGAGAAACUGUGAUUUACUAAAAUGUUCCCUCAAGAGAGGUAGGAGAUAGAUGACCAGCACAAAGAUCUGAAUCUGAGCCCUCAGCCACCACAUAGGAGCACCACGAGAGGGGAAACUUUGCAAAUGAUGAAACAGUACUGUAAUAUCUUUUUCUCUCC